UGCGACAUUCUGAUCUGCUUCCAGAGCUUCUUUACUGUCCUGGCUGUCCUUCUGCUUAAGCUUUGUACACUUUUCCACCUGAUGUCCAGUGAUGCGGCAAUUCGAGCAAAAGAAAGGCAAUUGUUCAUAGCUAAACUCGACAUAGAAAGGAUGUUCACAAUCUAUAAGCAUCGAUUCCUACAAUGGCUGAGCGAGAUCCAGUUCAAUUAGCACACGAAUGAAAUGGCCGACCUCUCCAUGAGCUGAUACACCAUCAAUUUUGAUUGGAAAACCAAUAAUUCUAGCGAUUGCUGUUAUUACCUCAGGAUCCCAAAACUCAUUCGGAAGGUAAUAAAUCCGAACCCAAACUUGACAUAUAGAAGAGACUUCCUUGUAGGGAUUGAAACAUGGAACCCAAUCGCGGAGGCGAAUGGAACCCGCAGCUAGAUCCCAAACAAUUUUAGCUUUCGCAAGUUUUUUAUCUUCAAGAGUAGAGAAUUUCAUGGUGAAGAAACCCUUACCCAGAGUGAGAAGCUUCCACUCUGAUUGGAUACCCCACAAAUUGUUGAGUUCAAGUUUCAACUGAUGUGUCGCCUGUGGCUUGC
rnacentral:lncRNA from 1 species